AUUGAACGCUGGCGGCAUGCCUUACACAUGCAAGUCGAACGGUAACAGGUCUUCGGAUGCUGACGAGUGGCGAACGGGUGAGUAAUACAUCGGAACGUACCUAGUAGUGGGGGAUAACUACUCGAAAGAGUGGCUAAUACCGCAUGAGGCCUACGGAUGAAAGCAGGGGAUCGCAAGACCUUGUGCUACUAGAGCGGCCGAUGGCAGAUUAGGUAGUUGGUGGGAUAAAAGCUUACCAAGCCGACGAUCUGUAGCUGGUCUGAGAGGACGAUCAGCCACACUGGGACUGAGACACGGCCCAGACUCCUACGGGAGGCAGCAGUGGGGAAUUUUGGACAAUGGGCGCAAGCCUGAUCCAGCAAUGCCGCGUGCAGGAUGAAGGCCUUCGGGUUGUAAACUGCUUUUGUACGGAACGAAAAGCCCUGGGUUAAUACCCUGGGGUCAUGACGGUACCGUAAGAAUAAGCACCGGCUAACUACGUGCCAGCAGCCGCCGUAAGAC
rnacentral:rRNA from 1 species